CUUUUGCUUGUGAGGGUUCCAAAGUCAAAUUGACCCUCUAGAAACCUAAUUGGGGGUAUUCCCGACGCGUUGGUGCGCUCGGUUUGACGUUACGAAAAGACUAUGCGAAGUUAUGAGCGAAAUGUUAAGGAUUUUAUAGGUUGGCGAAUUUCGUAAUGUUGAAUGGAGUCUUGAAGAGUUGAUCGCAGAAGUUUUGAAGAAAAUAUUCAAAUUAAAGAACAAAGACUCUUUCGGAAAGCUCGACACCUAAGGUAUGAAGAAAAGAUCAUUUGUGGUGAAGAUAUCUAAUUAGAAUAAGUUCAGAAGGCUUAGAUUGCUUUAAAAUAAUUUUUCUGAACUUUCAUGUGCUCUGGGACCGGUCCCUGAAAUGGAGAGACCGGUUCCCCUAAGGUCCUCACUGCGUGAGUUCUGAUGCAACCGGUCCCCUGAGAUGAGAGACCGGUUCCCGAACCUUGGUAGUUCUGUCGCGCAGCGAGGGACCGGUCUCAAGCUUGAGAGACCGGUUCCCGAACGCUGAGUUUUUGAACACGCAGCGAGGGACCGGUUCCUCACUUGAGAGACCGGUCUCUCACAGACCGGUCUCCUCGAGAAGACCGGUCUCUGAGGACGACACAGGUUUUUAAAAAG
rnacentral:lncRNA from 1 species